AAAAACAUCUUUUCUUGUUAGUUUCUGAAGUAUGGCCUGCCCGCUGACGUAUUUUGAGUUGAAGGGCCGCGGUAUUUUGACCGUGCAAAGGUAGCAUAGUCAUUAGUUCUUUAAUUGUGAUCUGGUAUGAAUGGCUUGACGAGACAUGGGCUGUCUUGAUUGUGGAUUUAUUGUUGAAUUUGGAGUUUAAGUUAAAAUUCUUAGAUGUUUUUAUGGGACGAGAAGACCCUAUAGAGUUUAACAUUUGAUUGUGUAUUUCUUAUUGUUUGUUUUGAAUUUUUGCGUAUCUUUUGUUUUGUUGGGGUGAUGGGAGGAAUUUAUUUAACUCCUCUUUUAUGUAGUAUAUUGAUUUAUAUUUGUUUUGAUCCAUUUAUUUUGAUUGUAAGAUUAAAUUACCUUAGGGAUAACAGCGUUAUCUUCCCUGAGAGUUCUUAUUGGCGGGGGGGUUUGCGACCUCGAUGUUGGAUUAAGGUUAAUUUUUGG
rnacentral:rRNA from 1 species